rnacentral:lncRNA from 1 species
ACUGUACAAAGGAUUACAGAGGCAACAAAGGACCUGGAGAAACUCACCGCUGAGCUAUCUCUACAGCAAGACACAGUCCAGCAGUGGGUGUCUGAUGUUCAGCAGUGGACCUCAGGUGUGGCGACGGCAGAGUGGCGCACCCGCUCUUCAUCCUCUCAUCACCUGCCGACUACAUAACACCGGUCUCUCCUCAUCUCUGAUGCCAGAUUAUCCAGUAUCUAAUGAACCCCAGCGUCACUCCGCUCCGCCGCCAGCCGGCCGCCUGCCUACCUGCUCGUCGACCCUCUACCGGCCCGCCGGCUCGGCCGAAUCCCGGGCGGUCCGUCCGCGGGCCCCGAUCACCCCUGGACCCCGCAUCGACCCAUCGCCUGCGCUUCAAUUCCUAAUAAACUCUUUUCCCCGCCAGCCCUGUCUCCGGUCUCUGCUUCUGGGUCCUCGCCUACUCAAAUCUAACAGUUGA